UCUCCGUUGGUGAACCAGCGGAGGGAUCAUUAUAGAGUUUUCAAAACUCCCAAACCCAUGUGAACUUACCUAUGUUGCCUCGGCAGAGCCUACCCGGUAACUGUUCGGAGAAGCUACCCUGUAGCUACCCUGUAACGGCCUCACCGGUGGACCUUUUAACUCUUGUUAUUUUAUGUAAUCUGAGAGUCUUAUUUUAAAUAAGUCAAAACUUUCAACAACGGAUCUCUUGGUUCUGGCAUCGAUGAAGAACGCAGC
rnacentral:misc_RNA from 1 species